UCUAAUAACCACACUACAAACUGUAGAGUGCAGUGUGUGCAUUCAUGCAGCAUACUGAGAAUACUGAAUCAGUCCUGGGUGAAAGCAUGGGGCCAUAAUACAGGUAGCCUUUAUUGCUGGCAGCUGUGUUAAAUGUCAUGGGUGAAAAAGACCCAACUAUAUUUGUUUGUAAUUGCAAACUUUAGGAACAAACUUUAGAAAAUGGAAUUUUUUUGUGAUUGGAAUAAGCACUUAUUAAAAUACAGUUAUUAUUAUUAUUAGAGCUAGAUUUAAUUUUGGUUUCAGUUGUGUUAUUUUGGCGUAUAAAUGCAAUUUUUCCAUCCUUAUAGGUUUGAGAGUAUUGAAAGUAACUGAAAGUGUAUGCUUAAUUGAUUUUAUUUAUUUUUGCAUGAUAGUGGUCCAAUAAAGGUUUUGAAUAAUGGCAAAAAUCAAUAACUGGUAACUGUACUUAAAACAUAUCUCUUUCUUUUCAGCUUUCAAAAGCUUAUAGUAGUCAAAUCCCUGUGGAUUCAAAGUCACCUAGAGAGAAUCCUGCACUUAUUUGACUUUAGAUUUGUUGCUGUAUGAGGGGGAAUGUAAACACUUGUUGCCAUACCGCAUAGCUGCCAAACAAGGAGAGACAGAAAUGGUGUCCUUGGUGCAAUAAAAUAUUAUGUCCCUCAGAAAACCAAGACGUGGACAUUCCUGCGUACUUCAAGGCCGUAAAACCCUCAGCCAGCUGCAAUGAAAAGGGACACGGCGAGCUGCUCCAGCCUCGACCCCUGGCCUGACCCAGCAUGGGCUCCUCUUUCAUCCCACAGGAGAAAACAUAGUGUACUGUGUCCAAUCUGGAUCUUUCCUCCAGCAGGUGAUGCAGGAGAUGUGUGAUGUACUCCAUGAAUGGAACAGGACACUGAAUACACGUGCAACCUGUAAUUCAUAAUGGAUUAAUGGACACAUAUAAACGCAGUGUUACAUAAGACCCGGGUAAACAACUGUAGGUCCAUGCACAUUACUGCUGUUUUAAAGACAUUGAAAAGUU